rnacentral:rRNA from 1 species
UACAGAGGGUGCGAGCGUUGUCCGGAAUUAUUGGGCGUAAAGAGCUCGUAGGCGGUCUGUCGCGUCGGUCGUGAAAACUUGGGGCUUAACCCUGAGCUUGCGGUCGAUACGGGCAUGACUGGAGUUCGGCAGGGGAGACUGGAAUUCCUGGUGUAGCGGUGAAAUGCGCAGAUAUCAGGAGGAACACCGGUGGCGAAGGCGGGUCUCUGGGCCGAUACUGACGCUGAGGAGCGAAGGCGUGGGGAGCGAACAGG